rnacentral:rRNA from 1 species
CCCGCGCCGUAUUAGCUAGUUGGUGGGGUAACGGCCUACCAAGGCGACGAUACGUAGCCGACCUGAGAGGGUGAUCGGCCACACUGGAACUGAGACACGGUCCAGACUCCUACGGGAGGCAGCAGUAGGGAAUCUUCCGCAAUGGGCGAAAGCCUGACGGAGCAACGCCGCGUGAGUGAUGAAGGUCUUCGGAUCGUAAAGCUCUGUUGUUAGGGAAGAACAAAUGUGUAAGUAACUGUGCACAUCUUGACGGUACCUAACCAGAAAGCCACGGCUAACUACGUGCCAGCAGCCGCGGUAAUACGUAGGUGGCAAGCGUUAUCCGGAAUUAUUGGGCGUAAAGCGCGCGUAGGCGGUUUUUUAAGUCUGAUGUGAAAGCCCACGGCUCAACCGUGGAGGGUCAUUGGAAACUGGAAAACUUGAGUGCAGAAGAGGAAAGUGGAAUUCCAUGUGUAGCGGUGAAAUGCGCAGAGAUAUGGAGGAACACCAGUGGCGAAGGCGGCUUUCUGGUCUGCAACUGACGCUGAUGUGCGAAAGCGUGGGGAUCAAACAGGAUUAGAUACCCUGGUAGUCCACGCCGUAAACGAUGAGUGCUAAGUGUUAGGGGGUUUCCGCCCCUUAGUGCUGCAGCUAACGCAUUAAGCACUCCGCCUGGGGAGUACGGUCGCAAGACUGAAACUCAAAGGAAUUGACGGGGACCCGCACAAGCGGUGGAGCAUGUGGUUUAAUUCGAAGCAACGCGAAGAACCUUACCAAAUCUUGACAUCCUUUGACCGCUCUAGAGAUAGAGUUUUCCUCUUCGGAGGACAAAGUGACAGGUGGUGCAUGGUUGUCGUCAGCUCGUGUCGUGAGAUGUUGGGUUAAGUCCCGCAACGAGCGCAACCCUUGAACUUAGUUGCCAUCAUUCAGUUGGGCACUCUAAGUUGACUGCCGGUGACAAACCGGAGGAAGGUGGGGAUGACGUCAAAUCAUCAUGCCCCUUAUGAUUUGGGCUACACACGUGCUACAAUGGACAAUACAAAGGGCAGCGAAACCGCGAGGUCAAGCAAAUCCCAUAAAGUUGUUCUCAGUUCGGAUUGUAGUCUGCAACUCGACUACAUGAAGCUGGAAUCGCUAGUAAUCGUAGAUCAGCAUGCUACGGUGAAUACGUUCCCGGGUCUUGUACACACCGCCCGUCACACCACGAGAGUUUGUAACACCCGAAGCCGGUGGAGUAACCAUUUUGGAGCUAGCCGUCGAAGGUGGGACAAAUGAUUGGG